rnacentral:rRNA from 1 species
UCAAGCUACAAAGGGCGCAUGGUGAAUGCCUUGGCAUCAGGAGCCGAUGAAGGACGUGAUAAGCUGCGAUAAGCUUCGGGUAGGCGCACAUAGCCUGAGAUCCGAAGAUCUCCGAAUGAGGAAACUCACAUGGGAAACCCCAUGUAUCAUUAAGUGAAUACAUAGCUUAAUGAAGGUAACUCAGGGAACUGAAACAUCUAAGUACCUGGAGGAAGAGAAAGAAAAAUCGAUUUUCUUAGUAGCGGCGAGCGAAAGGGAAAGAGCCCAAACCGGAAACUUGUUUCCGGGGUUGAGGACAUAACAUAAAGAGAAGUAAUGGCUAAUUGAAGAGAACUGGAAAGUUCCACCGUAGAAGGUAAUAGUCCUGUAAAUGAAAGCUAGUAUAAUCGAGUUAUGAUCCAGAGUACCACGAGACACGUGAAACCUUGUGGGAAGCAGGGAGGACCACCUCCCAAGGCUAAAUACUACCUGAUGACCGAUAGUGAAGCAGUACCGUGAGGGAAAGGUGAAAAGAACCCCGGGAGGGGAGUGAAAUAGAACCUGAAACCGUGUGCCUACAACCGCUCAGAGCCCCUUAUGAGGGUGAUGAGGUGCUUUUUGUAGAACGAGCCAACGAGUUACGGUAUGUAGCAAGGUUAAGUACUUAAGGUACGGAGCCGAAGGGAAACCGAGUCUGAAUAGGGCGACUAGUUGCAUGCCGUAGACCCGAAACCGGGUGACCUAUCCAUGGCCAGGUUGAAGCGAGGGUAAAACCUCGUGGAGGACCGAACCACGUUGCUGUUGAAAAAGCAUGGGAUGAGCUGUGGAUAGCGGAGAAAUUCCAAUCGAACCCGGAGAUAGCUGGUUCUCUCCGAAAUAGCUUUAGGGCUAGCGUCGAGUAUGAGUAGUGGAGGUAGAGCACUGAAUGGGCUAGGGGGCAUAGCGCUUACCGAACCUUAUCAAACUCCGAAUGCCACAUACUUUGAGCUCGGCAGUCAGACUACGAAUGAUAAGAUCCGUGGUCAAAAGGGAAACAGCCCAGAUCGUCAGCUAAGGUCCCAAAGUGUAAGUUAAGUGGGAAAGGAUGUGAGAUUUCUAAGACAACUAGGAUGUUGGCUUAGAAGCAGCCAUUCAUUAAAAGAGUGCGUAAUAGCUCACUAGUCGAGAGAUCUUGCGCCGAAAAUGUAACGGGGCUAAACUUACCACCGAAGCUACGGGCUUGAACUUAGUUCAAGCGGUAGGAGAGCGUCGUAACCGGGCUGAAGUCGUACCGUAAGGAGCGGUGGACUGGUUACGAGUGAGAAUGUUGGCAUCAGUAGCGAGAUGUGGGUGAGAAUCCCACAGGCCGAAAACCUAAGGUUUCCUCAGGAAGGUUCGUCCGCUGAGGGUUAGUCGGGACCUAAGCCGAGGCCGAAAGGCGUAGGUGAUGGACAACUGGUUGAUAUUCCAGUACCACUACCAUCGUUAUUAUCGAUGGCGUGACGCAGGAGGAUAGUGUGUGCUAGCUAUUGGAUGCUAGUCUAAGCGUUUAGGCAGUGAGAGUAGGCAAAUCCGCUCUCAUAAUGCUGAGGCGUGAUGGGGAAGGUUCUACGGAACCGAAGUACAUGAUUCCACGCUGCCAAGAAAAGCGUCUAGAGAGAGAAGUAGUGCCCGUACCGCAAACCGACACAGGUAGGUGAGGAGAGAAUCCUAAGGCCGGCGGAAGAAUUACAGUUAAGGAACUCGGCAAAUUGACCCCGUAAGUUCGCGAGAAGGGGUGCCUACGAGAGUAGGCCGCAGAGAAUAGGCCCAAGCAACUGUUUAGCAAAAACACAGGUCUCUGCUAAAGCGUAAGCUGAUGUAUAGGGGCUGACGCCUGCCCGGUGCUGGAAGGUUAAGGGGAACACUUAGCGCAAGCGAAGGUGUGAACUUAAGCCCCAGUAAACGGCGGCCGUAACUAUAACGGUCCUAAGGUAGCGAAAUUCCUUGUCAGGUAAGUUCUGACCCGCACGAAUGGCGUAAUGACUUGGGCACUGUCUCAACUGUAAAUCCGGCGAAGUUGUAGUGCGAGUGAAGAUGCUCGCUACCCGCGAUUGGACGGAAAGACCCCGUAGAGCUUUACUGUAGCUUAGCAUUGAGUUUUGGUAUUGUCUGUACAGGAUAGGUGGGAGACUAGGAAACCAGGGCGUCAGCCUUGGUGGAGUCAACCUUGGGAUACCACCCUGACAGUACUGAAAUUCUAACUGGCGGCCAUGAAUCUGGUCACAGGACAUUGUUAGGUAGGCAGUUUGACUGGGGCGGUCGCCUCCUAAAAAGUAACGGAGGCGCCCAAAGGUUCCCUCAGAACGGUCGGAAAUCGUUCGAAGAGUGCAAAGGCAGAAGGGAGCCUGACUGCGACACCCACAAGUGGAGCAGGGACGAAAGUCGGGCUUAGUGAUCCGGUGGUACCUCGUGGGAGGGCCAUCGCUCAACGGAUAAAAGCUACCUCGGGGAUAACAGGCUGAUCUCCCCCAAGAGUCCACAUCGACGGGGAGGUUUGGCACCUCGAUGUCGGCUCGUCGCAUCCUGGGGCUGAAGUAGGUCCCAAGGGUUGGGCUGUUCGCCCAUUAAAGCGGCACGCGAGCUGGGUUCAGAACGUCGUGAGACAGUUCGGUCCCUAUCCGUCGCGGGCGUAGGAAAUUUGAGAGGAGCUGUCCUUAGUACGAGAGGACCGGGAUGGACUGACCUCUGGUGUACCAGUUGUUCCGCCAGGAGCACAGCUGGGUAGCUAAGUCGGGAAUGGAUAAACGCUGAAAGCAUCUAAGCGUGAAGCCAACCUCAAGAUGAGAUUUCCCAUAGCGUAAGCUAGUAAGAUCCCUUGAAGAACACAAGGUUGAUAGGUCGGGGGUGUAAGCAUGGUAACAUGUUCAGCUGACCGAUACUAAUAGAUCGAGGGCUUGACCAA